GCAGUCUGGAGGAGCAGCAGGACUCCCAUCUCAGGCAAACAGGAAACGGGAGCUAAAUUACUCAGGAAGUUUCAGUUGGUCAUCAGAGGCCUCUGAACUUUCAGAUUUUGGAGUUUUAUGGUUAAAGAAACAUCUAUUCAGUGCACCGUGUCUCUCCGGUUCCUCUGAAUAUCAUUUUCUUGUAUCCGAGUAUCCAGCAUCCAAGUGUGGUAGGAUCUGAUGAGGAUCUGAUACACAACCAGAGGAGCCCUGACAAUAUUGACGAUAAACUGGCCAGGGUCCGCUGUGUCCUCAUCGCGAUGACACCAGACGAAAGGAAAAAAGGAAGAAAAAAAAGGAUCUGGAAACCACAGUGACCAUCAUUGUAUUUCACAUUUAUUAACACUAAAUAACCAUUGGCAACUUAUUUUAAUUAAUUUCACGGGUAAGUAGUAUUUAUUUUUACUUAUGUUUUACUAAAACAGCUUUCAUGCUAUUAAGGCUGUAUUGAGUAUUUUCACAAGCCCCAUAGUUUUGUGUUACCUUCUCCUAUCUGUCAUUUAAAACUGUAAGCUGAUUGAUCACAAGCCCAAGUUCCUCCUCCUCCACACACUACACUGCAAUCCAUUCAAACAUGCAACACACUGAUCAGCUUGAGAUACCGGGCCACUAUGAAUCGUUAUGGCCCUAAAAUCAACGCUGCCACUAACGAGCGCUCGUUAGUAAAUGCCACCCUUGAUUAAACGCCUCAUUAGCACCAAUGAUGGCAGUGGUCAGCUUGGAAAGAGCAUGGGCUCUGGACCAAUAACGUGUCACCCCAUGUUUGGGUGAACAUUCGGUUAAUUUCAUUGCAGGCAUCCAUUAUAUUUAGUCACUAACAUACUGUAGCUUAUGUUUGCUGGAAUUGCCAUUCAAACAGCACAAUAUUUCUGCUAGAUCAUCUCAGUAAAGCUAUGUCUUUAGCCAAGGACCGGA